GUGCUUGCUUUGGCAGCACGUGUACUAAAAUUGGAAUGAUACAGAGAAGAUACGCAUGCCCCUUGCGCAAAGACGAUAUGCAGGCUUAUGAAGCAUUCCAUGUUUUU
ensembl:snRNA U6 U6 spliceosomal RNA